UGUAAAGCGCUUUCUCCUCUGGUGACGCAAUCAGCGGUUCGUAACGUUUGCCGGCGUUCUCGAAAUCUUUGACUCUGUUCUCCAAGCGAGUAUCGGCUUCGGCACGGCCCUUUGCAUCGGAGGCCAGAAUAUGAUCGCGCAGAUUGGAGCGAUGCCGGGAGGCUUGGGUUCGCAUCUCGCCAAGCAAUUGGAUGCUCGGAAGCCAGACCGUUUGAAUGUCAUGUGCUGCGGCAUUGAUCGAACGCAUCUGGAGCACGCCAAAGGCGCUGGUGAUCAUCAGCGCGACCAGCAGGAACG
rnacentral:misc_RNA from 1 species